rnacentral:rRNA from 1 species
AUUGAACGCUGGCGGCAUGCCUUACACAUGCAAGUCGAACGGCAGCACGGGAGCAAUCCUGGUGGCGAGUGGCGAACGGGUGAGUAAUAUAUCGGAACGUGCCCAGUAGUGGGGGAUAGCCCGGCGAAAGCCGGAUUAAUACCGCAUGAGACCUGAGAGUGAAAGCGGGGGAUCGCAAGACCUCGCGCUAUUGGAGCGGCCGAGAUCCGAUUAGCUAGUUGGUGGGGUAAAGGCCUACCAAGGCAACGAUCUGUAGUUGGUCUGAGAGGACGACCAGCCACACUGGGACUGAGACACGGCCCAGACUCCUACGGGAGGCAGCAGUGGGGAAUUUUGGACAAUGGGCGCAAGCCUGAUCCAGCAAUGCCGCGUGCAGGAAGAAGGCCUUCGGGUUGUAAACUGCUUUUGUCAGGGAAGAAAUCCCUUGGGAUAAUACCCCGGGGGGAUGACGGUACCUGAAGAAUAAGCACCGGCUAACUACGUGCCAGCCGCCGCUGUAA